UGGCGCAAGGGUGAGUAACACGUGAGUAAUCUGCCCCGAAGUCCGGGAUAGCCCAUGGAAACGUGGAUUAAUACCGGAUGUGGCUGUAUGAACUGCGGUUUUAACAGUUAAAGAUUCAUUGCUUCGGGAUGAGCUCGCGGUCCAUCAGCUUGUUGGUGAGGUAAUGGCUCACCAAGGCGACGACGGAUAGCUGGUCUGAGAGGAUGACCAGUCACACUGGGACUGAGACACUGCCCAGACUCCUACGGGAGGCUGCAGUCGAGAAUCUUCCGCAAUGGGCGCAAGCCUGACGGAGCAAUGCUGCGUGCCGGAUGAAGGCCUUCGGGUCGUAAACGGCUGUCACUCGGGACGAAUUUUGACGGUACCGAGAGAGGAAGCCCACGGCUAACUACGUGCCAGCAGCCGCGGGUAAUACGUAGUGGGCGAGCGUAUUUCGGAAUAUUUGGGCCCUAGAGGGUUCGUAGGGGGUAAUGUAAGUCCGGUGUGAAAUCUCGAGGCUCAACCUCGAAACUGCAUUGGAAACUGCGUUACUUGAGUGUCAGAGAGGAAAGCGGAAUUCCUGGUGUAGCGGUGGAAUGCGUAGAUAUCAGGAAGAACACCGACGGCGAAGGCAGCUUUCUGGCUGACAACUGACCCUGAUGAACGAAAGCUAGGGUAGCGAACAGGAUUAGAUACCCUGGUAGUCCUAGCUGUAAACGUUGUGCACUGGAUGUGGGCGGAUUUGGUCCCGUCUGUGUCUGAGCGAAGGCGUUAAGUGCACCGCCUGGGGACUACGGCCGCAAGGCUAAAACUCAAAGGAAUUGACGGGGGCCCGCACAAGCGGUGGAGCAUGUGGCUCAAUUCGAGGCAACGCGAAGAACCUUACCUGGGUUUGACAUAUACCUGACCGCCGGUGAGAGCCGGUUUCUCUUUGAGCAGGUAUACAGGUGCUGCAUGGCUGUCGACAGCUCGUGCUGUGAAGUGUUCGGUUAAGUCCGGCAACGAGCGCAACCCGCGCUGUUAGUUACCAUCAGGUGAAGUUGGGGAGUCUAACAGGACUGCCCGUGUUAAGCGGGAGG
rnacentral:rRNA from 1 species